GCUCUGCAGGCACCCGCGGAGGCCAAGUGUCUGCUCCCCGGCCGCGGCAUGUGCAGGACUCGCGCUCUGAGGAGCUGCAAACUCCCGGCUCCCCACAGCCACCCCGGCUGCUCCAAGAACAGAGUGAGCCGCUGGCGGAUCCAGGACCACCAGCAGGACCUCCUGACUCCGGCGCUGUCAUUGCCAGACAGUGUUUCUUCUCCAGUGGCUCUCCUUCCUGGAGAACAAGCUCCUGUAGCGUGGCUGGAACCAGGGCAGGGGGAGCGACUCCCAGAACCAACAUCUCGCAGAUGGAUGUUGAGGGCUAUCGGAACCUGCUUAUUUACAGCAGCCUCAGUUUCUUGGGGACUGCCUUGCAAGUCUCUCUCCAGUCAUUUACAUGCUGUGCCUCACACUUAGUAUUCCAGGCUCCGCAUCUCAGGACGGUUAUUUUCUCUCUUUGAGUCCUUAAUUUUUAAAACGUGUCCUUUCACGCCACAGCCUGCUAUCCCGAUGGGAUUUCCUUCCACGGAGCGGGGAACGGCGGCUGUGUGCCGUGCAACCUCCCCAGCACGCAGCACGCUCAGCUUCCACCAGAAGCUGCCGUGUUUUUAGAGUCAACAAAAGGCAACACGAGCGUGCCAGCCCCGGCGCUGCCCCGGCACCGUGCCCGUGCCCACCGGGCCCUGCCCGGCACAGGCACCCCCAGACCUGACGAGCACCCCGCGGUGCUGGGGCCAAGCUCGCAGGAAGGCAGCCUCAUCUCCGCCUCAGCCACUGUUUAAAACCCACCCUCUGAGCAUGCCAAGAAGGUCAAAGAUAUUGAUGCUUGGCAGCCACAAAUACCGGGUGGUCAUUGCUUCAAAAGAAGCCCGAGAGCCUUUAAAGCACACGGGUUUUGUGCUGAGGCGAGCGGUGCCGGCGCUGCUGCUCCUGCGUGCAGAGCACACCUGAGCGGAACAUCCCCGGCGCUCUUGUCAGUCACUUAUGUCCUUUAUUUAACGGCAAUUCCUGCUCACUUUCUACGGGACGCGGCAAAAACGAGUAUUUGGUAGUUCCCAAAACGGGCAAAAGAGUCCAUAUAAACGGCAAGCGGUGAAUGGAAGAGGAA